rnacentral:rRNA from 1 species
UACGUAGGGUGCAAGCGUUGUCCGGAAUUAUUGGGCGUAAAGAGCUCGUAGGCGGUCUGUCGCGUCGGAUGUGAAAAUCAGGGCUCAACCCUGGACCUGCAUUCGAUACGGGCAGACUAGAGUUCGGCAGGGGAGACUGGAAUUCCUGGUGUAGCGGUGAAAUGCGCAGAUAUCAGGAGGAACACCGGUGGCGAAGGCGGGUCUCUGGGCCGAUACUGACGCUGAGGAGCGAAAGCGUGGGGAGCAAACAGG